UACGGAGGGGGCUAGCGUUGUUCGGAAUUACUGGGCGUAAAGCGCACGUAGGCGGCUUUGCAAGUCAGAGGUGAAAGCCCGGGGCUCAACCCCGGAAUUGCCUUUGAGACUGCAUCGCUAGAAUUGUGGAGAGGUAAGUGGAAUUCCGAGUGUAGAGGUGAAAUUCGUAGAUAUUCGGAGGAACACCAGUGGCGAAGGCGGCUCACUGGUCCGGUACUGACGCUGAGGUGCGAAAGCGUGGGGAGCAAACAGG
rnacentral:rRNA from 1 species